GAUGAACGCUGGCGGCGUGCCUAAUACAUGCAAGUCGAGCGAACAGACGAGGAGCUUGCUCCUCUGACGUUAGCGGCGGACGGGUGAGUAACACGUGGAAACCUACCUAUAAGACUGGGAUAACUUCGGGAAACCGGAGCUAAUACCGGAUAAUAUAUUUAACCGCAUGUGUCAAUAGGAAAAGACGGUUUUGCUGUCACUUAUAGAUGGAUCCGCGCCGCAUUAGCUAGUUGGUAAGGUAACGGCUUACCAAGGCAACGAUGCGUAGCCGACCUGAGAGGGUGAUCGGCCACCCUGGAACUGAGACACGGUCCAGACUCCUACGGGAGGCAGCAGUAGGGAAUCUUCCGCAAUGGGCGAAAGCCUGACGGAGCAACGCCGCGUGAGUGAUGAAGGUCUUCGGAUCGUAAAACUCUGUUAUUAGGGAAGAACAAAUGUGUAAGUAACUAUGCACGUCUUGACGGUACCUAAUCAGGAAGCCACGGCUAACUACGUG
rnacentral:rRNA from 1 species